AUGAACGCUGGCGGCGUGCCUAAUACAUGCAAGUCGAGCGAACGGACGAGAAGCUUGCUUCUCCGAUGUUAGCGGCGGACGGGUGAGUAACACGUGGAUAACCUACCUAUAAGACUGGGAUAACUUCGGGAAACCGGAGCUAAUACCGGAUGAUAUUUUGAACCGCAUGGUUCAAAAGUGAAAGACGGUCUUGCUGUCACUUAUAGAUGGAUCCGCGCUGCAUUAGCUAGUUGGUAAGGUAACGGCUUACCAAGGCAACGAUGCAUAGCCGACCUGAGAGGGUGAUCGGCCACACUGGAACUGAGACACGGUCCAGACUCCUACGGGAGGCAGCAGUAGGGAAUCUUCCGCAAAGGGCGAAAGCCUGACGGAGCAACGCCGCGUGAGUGAUGAAGGUCUUCGGAUCGUAAAACUCUGUUAUUAGGGAAGAACAUAUGUGUAAGUAACUGUGCACAUCUUGACGGUACCUAAUCAGAAAGCCACGGCUAACUACGUG
rnacentral:rRNA from 1 species